rnacentral:rRNA from 1 species
UGGGGAAUAUUGGACAAUGGGCGAAAGCCUGAUCCAGCGACGCCGCGUGAGGGAUGACGGCCUUCGGGUUAUAAACCUCUUUCAGCACCGACGAAGCGCAAGUGACGGUAGGUGCAGAAGAAGGACCGGCCAACUACGUGCCAGCAGCCGCGGUAAUACGUAGGGUCCGAGCGUUGUCCGGAAUUAUUGGGCGUAAAGGGCUCGUAGGCGGUUUGUCGCGUCGGGAGUGAAAACACCGGGCUUAACUCGGUGCUUGCUUUCGAUACGGGCAGACUUGAGGUAUGCAGGGGAGAACGGAAUUCCUGGUGUAGCGGUGAAAUGCGCAGAUAUCAGGAGGAACACCGGUGGCGAAGGCGGUUCUCUGGGCAUUACCUGACGCUGAGGAGCGAAAGUGUGGGGAGCGAA